UACAGAGGGUGCAAGCGUUGUCCGGAUUUAUUGGGCGUAAAGAGCGUGUAGGCGGCCAUACAGGUCCGUUGUGAAAACUCGAGGCUCAACCUCGAGACGUCGAUGGAAACCGUAUGGCUAGAGUCCGGAAGAGGAGAGUGGAAUUCCUGGUGUAGCGGUGAAAUGCGCAGAUAUCGGGAGGAACACCAGUGGCGAAGGCGGUUGCCUGGAGCUUUGCUGACGCUGAUGCGCGAAGGCCAGGGGAGCAAACGGG
rnacentral:rRNA from 1 species